AGAGUCUGAUCCCGGCUCAGGGUGAACGCUGGCGGCGUGCCUAACACAUGCAAGUCGUGCGGAUAUACUAAGGGGGUAACUCCUUAGUAUGUCAGCGGCAAACGGGUGAGUAAUACAUGGGUAACUUGCCCCUAAGACGGGGAUAACCUCGGGAAACUGAGGCUAAUACCCGAUACCCUCUUUGAGGUGAAAUUCCUCUUAGAGGAAAGCUCCGUAAGGAGCGCUUAGGGAGAGGCCCAUGGCCCAUCAGGUAGUUGGUGGGGUAAUGGCCUACCAAGCCUAUGACGGGUAGCCGGGCUGAGAGGCUGGCCGGCCACAGGGGCACUGAGACACGGGCCCCACUCCUACGGGAGGCAGCAGUGAGGAAUCUUGGGCAAUGCCCGAAAGGGUGACCCAGCGACGCCGCGUGGGGGAUGAAGGCCUUCGGGUUGUAAACCCCUUUUCUGGAGGAAGAAGUCCCGAAGAUUUUCUUCGGGAUUGACGGUACUCCAGGAAUAAGCCACGGCCAACUACGUGCCAGCAGCCGCGGUAAUACGUAGGUGGCGAGCGUUACCCGGAAUCACUGGGUGUAAAACGUGGGUAGGCGGUACGGUAAGUACAGUGUGAAAUCCUACGGCUCAACCGUAGGGCUGCACUGUAGACUGCCGUGCUAGAGUAGGGCAGAGGUGAGCGGAAUUCCCGGUGUACCGGUGAAAUGGGUAGAUAUCGGGAGGAACACCAUUGGCGAAAGCGGCUCACCAGGCCCUUACUGACGCUGAGCCACGAAAGCGUGGGGAGCAAACAGGAUUAGAGACCCUGGUAGUCCACGCCGUAAACCAUGCGUACUAGCUGCUCGAUCCCGAAAUUAUUCGGGAAUGGGUGGCGAAGCUAACGCGUUAAGUACGCUACCUGGGUAGUACGGCCGCAAGGCUGAAACUCAAGGGAAUUGACGGGGGGUCGCACAAGCGGUGGAGCAUGUGGUUUAAUUCGACGCAACGCGAAGAACCUUACCCGGGCUUGAACUGCCAGUGGUACGACCCCGAAAGGGGAAGGACCCAAGGGUUUCCUUGGGAGCUGGCAGAGGUGCUGCAUGGCUGUCGUCAGCUCGUGCCGUGAGGUGUAUGGUUAAGUCCCACAACGAGCGCAACCCCUGCCCCAUGUUGCCACCCACUAGCGUAAGCUAGUGGAGCACUCUUGGGGGACUGCCUGGGUUAACCAGGAGGAAGGUGGGGAUGACGUCAAGUCAUCAUGGCCUUUAUGUCCGGGGCUACACACGUGCUACAAUGGCCGCUACAGAGGGAAGCGAACCCGCGAGGGGGAGCAAAUCCCAGAAAAGCGGCCCCAGUUCAGAUCGUGGUCUGCAACUCGACCACGUGAAGGCGGAAUCGCUAGUAAUCGCGGAUCAGCAGGCCGCGGUGAAUACGUUCUCGACCCUUGUACACACCGCCCGUCACGCCAUGGGAGCCGGGGGUUAACGAAUCCUCGCAUUUUGCGGGGAGAGUUAACGCCUGGUGACUGGGGCGAAGUCGUAACAAGGUAGGCGUACUGGAAGGUGCGCCUG
rnacentral:rRNA from 1 species